UACGAAGGCGGCAAGCGUUAUACGGAAUUAUUGGGCGUAAAGCGCGCGCAGGUGGUUUCUUAAGUCUGAUGUGAAAGCCCACGGCUCAACCGUGGAGGGUCAUUGGAAACUGGGAGACUUGAGUGCAGAAGAGGAAAGUGGAAUUCCAUGUGUAGCGGUGAAAUGCGUAGAGAUAUGGAGGAACACCAGUGGCGAAGGAGACUUUCUGGUCUGUAAAUGACACUGAGGCGCGAAAGCGUGGGGAGCAAACAGG
rnacentral:rRNA from 1 species